rnacentral:misc_RNA from 1 species
UUUCCGUAGGUGAACCUGCGGAAGGAUCAUUAUUGGAUUUUGAAACUUCAGGCUGCUGCUGGCUCUCCUCGGAGGGCAUGUGCACGCUUGUUGUCCAUUAUUUCUCCCACUGUGCACAAAUUGUAGACCUUUCAGUAGGCCUAUGUUGUUUUUCACAAUCUCUGAAUGUAAUAGAAUGGUUUUGAAUCCUGGGAAAUACAAUACAACUUUCAGCAACGGAUCUCUUGGCUCUC